CAGCCGCCGCGGGAAUACGUAGGGGGCAAGCGUUGUCCGGAAUUAUUAGGCGUAAAGCGCGCGCAGGCGGUCAUUUAAGUCUGGUGUUUAAUCCCGGGGCUCAACCCCGGAUCGCACUGGAAACUGGGUGACUUGAGUGCAGAAGAGGAGAGUGGAAUUCCACGUGUAGCGGUGAAAUGCGUAGAUAUGUGGAGGAACACCAGUGGCGAAGGCGACUCUCUGGGCUGUAACUGACGCUGAGGCGCGAAAGCGUGGGGAGCAAACAGGAUUAGAGACCCCCGUAGUCCCUGUCUCUUUACAC
rnacentral:rRNA from 1 species